CAGCAGCCGCGGGAAUACGUAGGUGGCAAGCGUUGUCCGGAAUUAUUGGGCGUAAAGCGCGCGCAGGUGGUUUAAUAAGUCUGAUGUGAAAGCCCACGGCUCAACCGUGGAGGGUCAUUGGAAACUGUUAAACUUGAGUGCAGGAGAGAAAAGUGGAAUUCCUAGUGUAGCGGUGAAAUGCGUAGAGAUUAGGAGGAACACCAGUGGCGAAGGCGGCUUUUUGGCCUGUAACUGACACUGAGGCGCGAAAGCGUGGGGAGCAAACAGGAUUAGAUACCCGAGUAGUCCCUGUCUCUUAUAC
rnacentral:rRNA from 1 species